UUACUGUAUUUUAAAAUUAUUUACUCCCUCUGCUUUUUCUCUUAAUACAGCUUAAGGCUAAAUUGAUCGUUUGAUCUGUACCUUUAAUAGAAAAAAUUAAAGGUUUAGAGAAUUUUCUUGUCUUAUGCAGUAAUAAAGAAAGUUUUAAUUAUAAUAAGUUGACUUAUUUCCUAAAGGGUUGAUUCUCUGAUGAUCACAUGAUCUACGAAAGAACCACCACAAUAUGAAGUAUAUUGAUCUUACUGUUGCUAUAGUUUUCUCUCUCUAUAAAGCUGCGUCGAAGUCCCAAAUGCUUUAGAGAAGAAAGUUGACUAAGAGAUGACAAAAUUUUGUGAUCAAAAGAAUUGUCACCCAGAUCAAGGGCCUCCAAAUUUCUCAAUUUCGACAAUCUAUCUAUACCUGCACCAAAUUCAAUAUAUAUUCAAAUAAAAUAGGAAUAUCAAUAUUGAAUUAGCUAGCUACCUAAGGAGAGAUGGCAUUAUACCUUCAUUUUCAAUCCAACCGACUAACAGAUUGCCUGACAAAGAGAGAUAUUUGAGCUCUUGAAAGGGAAGAAAUAGAGAGGCAUUAAAAUACCAAUCUCCUAAUUUCAAAGGCCUAGCAAAAUCUAGAUUAAGUUGGAUUACUCGUCGAGUUGUACUGCAUUCAACAUCUUGCCAUUGACAACAGUCAGUUCCAAUCUCAUUAACAACCCAUGAAGGCAACGACUCUCCAUUUGGAAAGUUUAUAUUUGCUUUGAGGUGCAAAAGAGCAAUCCUCUCUUCUUCCCAACACCCUAAACAAUACCAUCCAUUUAGUAAUGAAAGCACAAUCAUCACUAACAUUACCCAUAACUUUAUUCCCAUCUUUCUUAAUUAUCAACACACUAAUUUUGGCUUGUCUGAAUUAUUAGCAAAGCUGCAAAAUCUCUUAUGUAUGGAGCUUGGUGGAUUUUUCGCUUUGGGAGAGUCC
rnacentral:lncRNA from 1 species